rnacentral:rRNA from 1 species
UACGGAGGAUGCAAGCGUUAUCCGGAAUGAUUGGGCGUAAAGCGUCCGCAGGUGGCAGUUCAAGUCUGCUGUUAAAGACCGGGGCUUAACUUCGGAAAGGCAGUGGAAACUGAACAGCUAGAGUAUGGUAGGGGCAGAGGGAAUUCCUGGUGUAGCGGUGAAAUGCGUAGAGAUCAGGAGGAACACCGGUGGCGAAGGCGGGUCUCUGGGCCGAUACUGACGCUGAGGAGCGAAAGCGUGGGGAGCGAACAGG